AUGCUCAUGUUACAAGACCUACAACUGACUUGGGAUCCAUGUGAGAAGAUCCUUGAUUGGGUUCAGCUUGUAGUACGAGUGCCUUGGGAUCCUGGUGGGUUGUCACGAUGUCGGCUUGAGGUCAAGCCCAAACUUAAGAGGGAGGGAUUGUCAGCAACCUCCUUGUACUGGACAUCGGGCUGGAUGGUGGGCUGCUCUUGGGCAUUGGCCUGCGCUGAAGUUUACAGAGGAAGCCACUACAAAUACCUGGAGAAACAAUGGAACGAGGCGGCUUGGACGGAUGGGCUUCGGCCUAGGCUCGGCGAGGCGUGCGAGUUCCUUCUUCCUCUUUCUGUAGAGCUCGUCUUCCUCAUCUGUCUUCUCCCUCUCUCUCUCUGGUUCUUCCUCCUGUAA
rnacentral:rRNA from 1 species